rnacentral:rRNA from 1 species
AAUAGAUACCCAGGUAGUCCAUGCCGUAAACGUUGGGAACUAGAUGUAGGGCCUGUUCCACGGGUUCUGUGUCGUAGCUAACGCAUUAAGUUCCCCGCCUGGGGAGUACGGCCGCAAGACUAAAACUCAAAGGAAUUGACGGGGGCCCGCACAAGCGGCGGAGCAUGCGGAUUAAUUCGAUGCAACGCGAAGAACCUUACCAAGGCUUGACAUAUAGAAGAACACUGCAGAGAUGCAGGACUCUUUGGACACUUCUAUACAGGUGGUGCAUGGUUGUCGUCAGCUCGUGUCGUGAGAUGUUCGGUUAAGUCCGGCAACGAGCGCAACCCUCGUCCUAUGUUGCCAGCACGUAAUGGUGGGAACUCAUGGGAUACUGCCGUGGUCAACACGGAGGAAGGUGGGGAUGACGUCAAAUCAUCAUGCCCCUUAUGUCUUGGGCUUCACGCAUGCUACAAUGGCCGGUACAAAGGGCUGCGAUACCGCAAGGUGGAGCGAAUCCCAAAAAGCCGGUCUCAGUUCGGAUUGGGGUCG